rnacentral:lncRNA from 1 species
AUGCUUACCACCCCAGCCAUCCUACAGUCUAAGCUUGAUGCCCUCAUUCUCACACAAAUUAUCAUUGAACCUACCAGGUACAACCCCAAAUCUGUAAACAAGGGCACCCUCAUAGAUAUCAUCCUAACUAACUUACCCUCCAAAUACACCUCUGCUGUUUUCAACCAAGAUCUCAGCGACCGUAAUGGGUCUGCAGUCAAACAACCACCCCUCAUCACUGUCAAACGCUCCCUAAAACACUUCUGCGAACAGGCCUUUCUAAUUGAAAUGGCCGGGGUAUCCUGGAAUGACAUUGACCUCAUUCCGUCAGUAGAGGAUGCCUGGUUAUUCUUUAAAAGUGCCUUCCUCACCAUUUUAAAUAAGCAUGCUCCAUUCAAAAAAUUUAGAACUAGGAAUAGAUAUAUACCUUGGUUCACUCCAGACCUGUCUGCCCUUGACCAGCACAAAAACAUCCUGUGGCGUUCUGCAUUAGAAAUGCAACUUUUCAGGGAAGUUAGGAACCAAUAUACACACGCAGUUAGGAAAGCUAAGGCUAGCUUUUUCAAACAGAAAUUUGCAUCCUGUAGUACAAACUGUAGUACAAAAUGUUCUCUCUACAGUGUGUGUUCUCUCUGCAGUAUGUGUUCUCUCUACAGUAUGUGUUCUCUCUACAGUAUGUGUCGCUUCUACAGUAUGUGUUCUCUCUACAGUAUGUACAGUAUGUGUUCUCUCUACAGUAUGUCAGUGUUUCUCUCAUAG